rnacentral:rRNA from 1 species
CCCAGACUCCUACGGGAGGCAGCAGUGGGGGAUAUUGCACAAUGGGGGGAACCCUGAUGCAGCGACGCCGCGUGGGUGAAGGAGCGUUUCGGCGCGUAAAGCCCUAUCGGCAGGGAAGAAGGAGGACGGUACCUGACUAAGAAGUCCCGGCUAACUACGUGCCAGCAGCCGCGGUAAUACGUAGGGGGCAAGCGUUAUCCGGAUUUACUGGGUGUAAAGGGGGCGCAGACGGCAGCGCAAGCCAGGAGUGAAAGCCCGGGGCCCAACCCCGGGACUGCUCUUGGAACUGCGCGGCUGGAGUGCAGGAGGGGCAGGCGGAAUUCCUGGUGUAGCGGUGAAAUGCGUAGAUAUCAGGAGGAACACCGGUGGCGAAGGCGGCCUGCUGGACUGCGACUGACGUUGAGGCCCGAAAGCGUGGGGAGCAAACAGGAUUAGAUACCCUCGUA